GAGGGUAUAGCUCAGUGGUAGAGUGUGUGUUUAGCAUAUGCAAGGUCCUGGGUUCAAUUUCCAGUACCUCCA
rnacentral:tRNA from 1 species